UACAGAGGGUGCAAGCGUUGUUCGGAAUUAUUGGGCGUAAAGGGCGCGUAGGCGGUGCGGUAAGUCUGCAGUGAAAUCUCUGGGCUCAACUCAGAGUCUGCUGUAGAAACUGCCGUGCUUGAGUGUGGGAGAGGUGAGUGGAAUUCCGGUGUAGCGGUGAAUGCGUAGAUAGUCGGGAGGAACACCUGUGGCGAAAGCGGCUCACUGGACCACAACUGACGCUGAGGCGC
rnacentral:rRNA from 1 species